UACAGAGGGUGCAAGCGUUAAUCGGAAUUACUGGGCGUAAAGCGAGCGUAGUCGGUUAUUUAAGUCGGGUGUGAAAGCCCCGGGCUCAACCUGGGAAUUGCAUUCGAUACUGGAUAGCUAGAGUUCGGCAGAGGGAAGCGGAAUUUCCGGUGUAGCGGUGAAAUGCGUAGAUAUCGGAAGGAACACCAGUGGCGAAAGCGGCUUCCUGGUCCAGCACCGACGUUCAGGCACGAAAGCGUGGGGAGCAAACAGG
rnacentral:rRNA from 1 species